GACGAACGCUGGCGGCGUGCUUAACACAUGCAAGUCGAACGGGUCUGCCCUGUUUUUUGCGGGGUGGGUCAGUGGCGAACGGGUGAGUAACACGUGAGUAACCUGCCCCUCACUUCUGGAUAACCGCUUGAAAGGGUGGCUAAUACGGGGUGUUCUGGCUGUGCCGCAUGGUGUGGCUGGGAAAGAUUCACUUUUGUGGUGUUGUGGUGGGGGAUGGGCUCGCGGCCUAUCAGCUUGUUGGUGGGGUGAUGGCCUGCCAAGGCUUUGACGGGUAGCCGGCCUGGGAGGGUGGGCGGUCACACUGGGACUGCGAUACGGCCCAGACUCCGGCGGGAGGCAGCAGUGGGGGGUAUUGAACAAUGGGCGGAAGCAUGAUGCAGCGACGUCGCGUGAGGGAUGGAGGCCUUCGGUUUGUGAACCUCUUUCGCCGGUGAAGAAGGUCCUGCUCUUUGUGGUGGGGUUGACGGUAGCCGGGUUAUGAAGCGCCGGCUAACUACGUG
rnacentral:rRNA from 1 species